AGUGUAGGUGGCUCAUUAAGUCACAUGUGAAAUCCCCGGGCUUAACCUGGGAACUGCAUGUGAUGCUGGUGGUGCUAGAAUAUGUGAGAGGGAAGUAGAAUUCCAGGUGUAGCGGUGAAAUGCGUAGAGAUCUGGAGGAAUACCGAUGGCGAAGGCAGCUUCCUGGCAUAAUAUUGACACUGAGAUUCGAAAGCGUGGGUAGCAAACA
rnacentral:rRNA from 1 species